CUGCACUGUUCGAAGUCUGUAAGAUCAGUGCUGAAUUCAAAAUAAUCACCACAGUUCCCCUGCAAUCCAAGCAACUGUUGCUGAAUUGGCUGAUUUGUACAAGAUGCACCAUUUCUGAGGACUUCUGGCACAGUGGCCUGCACUGUUCAAAGUUCGCAAGGUAAGACAUUCAAUUCGGAUUGUCUUUAAUGUUUUUAUUUGUGAAUUACAGCGUUUUAUCUCCUUUCUUGAAUGUGUGUGUGGCUUUCUCCUAAUGUUAAUGAUUUGAUCGUUAAAUCCUUUGGGCUCUUUAUGUCUUUUCAGAUCAGUGCUGAAUUGAAAAGAAUCACCAGUCCCACUGCAAUGGCCAGCACUGUUCGAAGUCCACAAGGUAAAGCAUUCACUUUGGCCACAACCCUACCCAGUGCACCUUAACAACUUGACUCCUGCUUUAAAUUAGCU